AAGAGUCCCAGUCACCAGGCCACCCUCUCAGUCUGGGGCCCUCGAGGGAGCCCAGAAUCCCAAGUGGCUGGAGCACUGGGGGAUACCCAGACAGAGCCCUCGUUGGACCAGGUCCUCCGGGAGCGGGAUGAAGCCAUUGCCAAGAAGCGGGCAGUGGAGGCUGAGCUGGACAUAUUCAAAGCCAAGUUGCGAGCUGUGGAGGCCCAGCUGCUGGAAGUUCUGGAGGAG